AUCCUGGCUCAGGACGAACGCUGGCGGCGUGCCUAAGCUUAUGCAAGUCGAACGCGAACGGCUCCUUCGGGAGCCUAGUAGAGUGGCAAACGGGUGAGUAACGCGUGGGUAACGUACCCUGAUCCUGGGAAUAACCCUCGGAAACGAGGGCUAAUACCGAAUGUGGCGAACGACCGGUUGGUCGCUCGCUAAAGGUGGCCUCUUCUAUGCUGCCGGGUUGGGAUCGGCCCGCGUCCCAUUAGCUAGUUGGUGAGGUAACGGCUCACCAAGGCCACGAUGGGUAGCCGGCCUGAGAGGGUGUACGGCCACACUGGCACUGAGACAAGGGCCAGUCCCCUAUGGGAGGCGCAGGCGGGAAUAGUUCACAAUGGGCGAAAGCCUGAUGACGCGACGCCGCGUGAGCGAAGAAGACCUUCGGGUUGUAAAGCUCUGUCAGGAGGGAAGAAGGCUCUACGGGUUAAUAGCCCGUGGAAUUGACGGUACCUCCAGAGGAAGCCCCGGCUAAAUACGUGCCAGCAGCCGCGGUAAUACGUAUGGGGCAAGCGUUGUCCGGAUUUACUGGGCGUAAAGGGCGCGUAGGCGGUUUGUUAAGUCGAAGGUGAAAUCCUCGGGCUCAACUCGAGAAUUGCCUUCGAUACUGGCAAACUAGAGUGGCGGAGAGGAAAGCGGAACUCUUGGUGUAACGGUGGAAUGUGUAGAUAUCAAGAGGAACACCGGUGGCGAAGGCGGCUUUCUGGACGCACACUGACGCUCAGGCGCGAAAGCGUGGGUAGCAAACAGGAUUAGAUACCCUGGUAGUCCACGCCAUAAACGAUGGGUACUA
rnacentral:rRNA from 1 species